CAACGACUCAUCCCCUCUCUCUCUCUCUCUCUCUCUCGCUUCUAUAUACCACCGUCUACUGCAGGUUUUGAUUUGGCUCCGGCGAUCGCCCUUCAUCUCGUUCCUCUUACUCGCUCCUACGACGGUUCUGUUAAUGGAAACACCAACCAACGGGAUUCAUAUGGAGAAAGCUUAGUGGGUGACCAACAUCAGAUCCUCACGGUCAGGAAUGCGAGGUGGUUUGCUGCUACAAAGAAGGCAACUGCUGCUGCUUUUGGUCAUCAAAGAAGCACAAGAAGUAACCCUGGGAACAACCUUCUUCGAUAUGGUUUUGCUGCAAUGCCCAGGAGAAUGAGCAGACUUAUGGCUUGAAUCCAUUCCGCCAGCAUAGCUCCUGCAUGCCUUCAUCUUCCUUCUGUAAGCAGUCUCUUUCUUGGGCAGAUCUUCAAUGCUGUUAACCACAGAGAGCGAUGUAUACGAUUGCGACUUGCCUUGGUAGUACUUGGACAGCCCUCUCCUACAUCACCCAAAUCCAAUUGCAAGUAGCUGCUCCAUUAGUGAAGGCAACUCAUACAGAGGUCUAUCAGAAUUCAGGUGGGGUGACAGCGACGAAGGAUCUGGAGUUGAAGGCGUUUCAUCUUCAUCAUCGGAGUUGCUGGAGAAGGGGUCAGAAUCGAAUAGCUCUUCGUCAUCUUCGUCACGACGUCUCAAGCAUCUAACCAGGUCUCAAGCAUCUGUCAGGGUUACCCACCCAAUCAUAACUUGGUAUCCACUGUGGAUGGAUGCUCAGGAUUGCAUGGAGGAGGUCCCAAGCAGGCGAGGGGGAGCCCCAGCGGGAUCUCCUAGUUGAAAACCAUGGCACAUGGCAUGGGUGGUGGGAGUUGAUCCCUUUGGUGCGGAAUAAAUAGCUAAAUGCUGUGUACAUAUAAUAUAUUAUAUAUGUGGAUUCCAUCCUUAGCCUACAAGGAUGAAGGCAUAGAUGAUGGAUGCCAAGGAUUGGACCGCCCCGAUCCAUGUCCCUCUUGUCUCUAAUUUGUGAUCAGACUCCAAUACUAUAAUAGCAGUCAAUACAAUCUGAUGUUGAACCAUGUUUGGACAUUAACAAGUAACGAUUGCAAUAGCUGGUCCUGUUGUACCUAAACUAGUUAAAUGUUUUAUAUGAUUUAUCCUCGAGCGGCCACCUUUUAGUGCAUUUAUUCACAUGAAUUCCCA